rnacentral:rRNA from 1 species
GCCAGACUCCUACGGGAGGCAGCAGUGGGGAAUAUUGCACAAUGGGGGAAACCCUGAUGCAGCGACGCCGCGUGAGUGAAGAAGUAUUUCGGUAUGUAAAGCUCUAUCAGCAGGGAAGAAAAUGACGGUACCUGACUAAGAAGCCCCGGCUAACUACGUGCCAGCAGCCGCGGUAAUACGUAGGGGGCAAGCGUUAUCCGGAUUUACUGGGUGUAAAGGGAGCGUAGACGGCGGAACAAGUCAGAAGUGAAAACCCGGGGCUCAACCCUGGGAGUGCUUUUGAAACUGUUUGGCUGGAGUGCAGGAGAGGUAAGCGGAAUUCCUAGUGUAGCGGUGAAAUGCGUAGAUAUUAGGAGGAACACCAGUGGCGAAGGCGGCCUGCUGGACGAUGACUGACGUUGAGGCUCGAAAGCGUGGGGAGCAAACAGGAUUAGAUACCCUUGUAG